rnacentral:ncRNA from 1 species
UCCCGCCCGUUGCGUGAGCGUCACGGCGCUCGCGCCUGAGCGGUCUUUUCAUCUGGUCGUGCCGCUGGGCCGGUAGGCCCACCGCCACGCGCUCCCCAGGAAACUACCCGGCCACGUUCGGGCAAGUCCUUGCGCAGUCUAUCCGCCGUUAGCCGGGUGCUUCGACGGAGCGAUGUAGAUAGCACGAUAGUUAU